AUUGAACGCUGGCGGCAUGCUUUACACAUGCCAGUCGAACGGUAACAGGCCUUCGGGUGCUGACGAGUGGCGAACGGGUGAGUAAUGCAUCGGAACGUGCCCAGAGGUGGGGGAUAACGCAGCGAAAGCUGUGCUAAUACCGCAUGUGAUCUGAGGAUGAAAGCGGGGGACCGAGCAGCAAUGUUUGGCCUCGCGCCUUUGGAGCGGCCGAUGUCGGAUUAGCUAGUUGGUGGGGUAAAGGCCUACCAAGGCGACGAUCCGUAGCUGGUCUGAGAGGACGACCAGCCACACUGGGACUGAGACGCGGCCCAGACUCCUACGGGAGGCAGCAAUGGGGAAUUUUGGACAAUGGGCGCAAGCCUGAUCCAGCAAUGCCGCGUGCGGGAAGAAGGCCUUCGGGUUGUAAACCGCUUUUGGCAGGAACGAAACGGUGUCCGCUAAUACCGGGCGCUAAUGACGGUACCUGCAGAAUAAGCACCGGCUAACUACGUG
rnacentral:rRNA from 1 species